GUUUGGUGGCCAAUUUAUGUGAAGUAAAAUUUGGUCCAUGCAGAAAGAAAGAUUGUCAGCCUUUCAGAGAGCGGACUCAAGUUGAAUUCAAAAUGGAAGACCCAUUGAAUAACUCUCUAUACAUCAGGGUUGGCUUUUGAAUUCAUUGGCAGCCUUGGCGACUUUAUGCAUUUUCCUUGUCAUAAGUCCUGGUGUGUGUGAAUCAGCAUCUUUGGUCGCCUGUGGAGAUUUGAGAGAGAUGGAACUUUUCCUUUUCCUUAUGCUAGAGGCUGAUAACCAUUAAAUUUUUGACAUGGUUCUCCGCUUCACUGCUUAUCAUUAUCCUGAAAAUAUCGUCUUGCCACAAGGAUAUACUCCUCAAAAUCUGGCAGUUAGCACACUUUACUGGAAGGCUUGGUUGAUGCUAUUGAUGCUGAUUGCUCAUUAUCCUGGCAGUCUUGGGUCUGAGGCAUGGAAUUCAUUCCCUCCUACACUCCGAGCAUUGAUGGAGAUGUGUAUCACAAAUGAUUUCGCUACUUCUUCUGGUACCACAGACCAGACAGAGUUGCAGGUGGCUGCAAUUGAAAAGCAAACCAUAUUGGAAUUCGAAACACAUCU